AUGGCAGGGGCUAAGAAAAUUCAGCAAUUUCGCCCCAUUUGCCUUCUUCGUUGUCCCUAUAAACUAAUUACUAAAGUGUUGGACAACCGCGUAGCUAUCUAUGCGGAUAAGUUGAUCAGCCGGCACCAAAAUGCCUUCAUUAAGAACAGAAACAUCAUGGAUGGGAUUUUGUCCUUGCAUGAGGUGCUGCAUCAUGCUCACAGUAAGAGGAAAGUUGGUGUGGUUUUAAAGCUUGACUUUGAAAAAGCAUACGAUAAAAUCAACUGGGAUUUUCUCCUGGAAUGUCAUAAGAUGAGGGGUUUUAAUGAUAAAUGGUGUGGGUGGAUUAAAAAGAUCCUGAAUGAUGGCACGGUGAGUAUCAAGUUGAAUAACGAAACUGGACCUUACUGUGUGAGUCGCAAAGGGGUUCGCCAGGGCGACCCUCACUUACCUUUUUUAUUCAAUCUAGCGGUUGAGUGUCUCUCGAAGAUGAUCUUCAAUGCUCAAAAGGAAAAUUUAAUCACUGGCUUAGCCCCUGAUCUUAUUGAGGGGGGAGUUGCGGUGCUGCAAUACGCAGAUGAUACGGUGUUAUGCUUCGAGCAUGACACAUCUGCUGCAAUCAACCUCAAAUUGCUUCUGUACAUGUUUGAGCUCAUGUCAGGCUUGAAGAUUAACUACCUUAAGAGCGAAAUCCUGUGUGUAGGGGGUGAUGACGAUAUCCUUAGUUACUAUGCAGAGCUCUUUAACUGCCAAAUUGGUCAUUUCCCUAUGUGUUACUUAGGAGUACCAGUUAGUUUCUCCUCUUUAAGAUGCCUGGAGUGGAUUUUUGUUGAUGACAAAUUUGGCAAGUGCUGUGAGGCUUGGAUAGGCAAUGUUGCUUCUUCAGGUGGCAGGCUUACGCUGCUAAACUCCUCCUUGUCCAGCAUAGUCUAUUACUAUAUGGCCAUGUUCCUUCUCCCUAAAACUUUCAUUGAAAAAUUGGACAAGAGGAGACGUCGAUUUUUCUGGCAAAGUUGGGAAGGUCGAAAAAGAUACCACUUAGUCCGUUGGAGCAGAGUAUGUCGCUCCAAGGACAAGGGUGGGCUGGGUGUUAAGGACCUACGCAAACAAAAUAUCAGCCUCCUGGUAAAAUGGUGGUGGAAGCUGGAUACUCAACAAGGACUUUGGCAAGAUAUAGUGAAGGCUAAAUGCUUGAAACAAGAAACGGUGGCCACGGUGAAGAGCAAGUUUAAUGAUUCCCCUAUCUGGAAAGAUUAUUACAUGAGGGGCAGAAUUAUUCAGAUUAACUCGGGGGACGUGGCGCAAGUUUGGGAGGACUGCAUAAAUGGCAUGCCUCCUAUGCGGGUUCAAUUCCCUCUGCUGUUUAGCAUCUGUAACAUGCCUAAGAUUACGGUUGACAAGUUGGGUGGUGUGGGGGCCGGCGACAUGUUUUGCAGAAGGCUAAACCCCCCACUUGAGAGCAUGUGGUUCGAGAUGCGCACAACUGUGCUGGGUACCAUCUCAUCUACAGAGCCAGACAAGGUUGAUGGGCACCUGGGCCUAAGCAUCGAUUCACUACCAAAUCCAUGUACAAACUCCUUGAAAGCAACCUUGCAGGUUGUGACUAUCGAUGGAUCUGGAAAGCUAGUAUUCCACUUAAGAUCAAAAUCUUGA
rnacentral:rRNA from 1 species